AACGAACGCUGGCGGCAGGCUUAACACAUGCAAGUCGAACGGACCCUUCGGGGUUAGUGGCAGACGGGUGAGUAACGCGUGGGAACCUACCUAUAAGUACGGAACAACACAGAGAAAUUUGUGCUAAUACCGUAUGUGCUCUUUUGAGUAAAGAUUUAUCGCUUAUAGAUGGGCCCGCGUUAGAUUAGCUAGUUGGUGAGGUAACGGCUCACCAAGGCGACGAUCUAUAGCUGGUCUGAGAGGAUGAUCAGCCACACUGGGACUGAGACACGGCCCAGACUCCUACGGGAGGCAGCAGUGAGGAAUAUUGGACAAUGGGGGCAACCCUGAUCCAGCCAUGCCGCGUGAGUGAUGACGGCCUUAGGGUUGUAAAGCUCUUUCAGUAGUGAAGAUAAUGACGGUAACUACAGAAGAAGCCCCGGCUAACUUCGUGCCAGCGCCGCGGUAA
rnacentral:rRNA from 1 species